CCUGGUGGCUCAGAGGUUAAAGCAUCUGCCUGCAAUGUGGGAGACCUGGGUUCGAUCCCUAGGUCAGGA
rnacentral:tRNA from 1 species